GCUUACGGCCAUACCAGCCUGGGUACGCCCGAUCUCGUCUGAUCUCGGAAGCUAAGCAGGGUCGGGCCUGGUUAGUACUUGGAUGGGAGAACGCCUGGGAAUACCAGGUGCUGUAAGCA
rnacentral:rRNA from 1 species